CAGGAAAUAAGAGGGAAAAAAGAAAGAAAGGAAAAGCUGUCGAGCGAAACCCUCCACCUCUCUUCGCCUCCAGCGCCCCCUCCUCCCUCUCCAGCGCCGCCACAGCCACCUUGGCGAUGCUCCCACCCACCACCCAUGGUUGAGGUCGGUGAAGCGGCCCAUCACGCGAUGCUUGGGGACGCCACUUCCCUCCGCCGCCAGCUGCGGCGACCGGCUAGCGUGCGGUAGCCGCCGCCAAAACCGGAUGGCGUGCUGUCCGGCGAGGGGCCCGACUUGCCGCGCGGCAUCGCCUUCUCCACAUCUGCCCGCGGAUUGAGCCCCACGACCUCCAUCCCGACCUGCCUUUCCCUCUUCUCGCUUGUCAGAAAGGAGUGCAGGCCGCUGUUGCCCCACACGAGGUCGUCCUCCUCUUUGGUUUUGCUGAUUCUGAGGCGUUGGCUCGACCUACAGGUUCGUCUCCCUCUCUCUCUCACCCUGGUCUGCACUGUGAGUUCCCUUUUAUUUCGUCUCUCGUCAUCUCCACAUGAUUCUGGCAUAUCGGAUUGAGUUUGUGGUACCUGCAGUUUAUACCGGAACUUAAUCUUAAGGUCAGGAUUGCAUGCCCUUUUCUCUUGAGCUGAAACGCAUUCAAGCAUGGCUAUUGACCGAGCCCCCUAAUUCAACUAUUCAGGUUGGUUUAUACAUAUUGCUGCGGAAUUACCUUGACUGCUUGUCAAUCAAUUAAACCAUGUGUUUGCCAUGUUGUAGAUAUUACAAGAUUUGUGUGCUAUCUUAUUAUCCAGAUGUGCUUUAGGCCUUUAGCAAAACCAUUUUUGUUAUUAUCAAUCUCACAGGUACAGUUUGAUUGGGUCAUGUCUGUAGUUUUUUCCAGUGUUGCAAGUUCAUGUUCUUGGGAAAAAAAAUUCAUUGUCUAUUUCCUAUAUUGGUGAUGCGGGUGAACUAAUUUGGGUAUUAUAAUGAGGUUUGCUCUUUGGUAAUUUCCUUGUCGGUCUGCGUCAUCCAGGUGAUGUCUCCGACACAGCAGAAUCUUGCGAAGUUAACACUCAAUCUGUUUGCGUUAAGGCAUGAACACUACGCUUUGUUGAUUCAGUGCCACUUAUCUGGUGCAGGAAAAUGCCGAUGUUAAAGCAUUUGGUUCUGAUGGAUCAUAUUACUGUUUCUCAGUUCAACUGAAGAUGGCUCAGAUAGGACCAAGUUUGGAUAUUCAUGUGUUGGAUAGGGGUCGGGGAUGGUUUCCUGCACAAGAGGUGAAGUUCAUUUAUGUAAAUUUGUGUCCCGUGGUCAUAUAUUGGCCUGUAGAAUUUAUCAGAUAUGUGAAGGUGCAAAUUGAAACAGAAGAUUCGUCUAUGAUGCAGCAGCUCAAAGCUGAAGAUUUCGAAGGAUGUCAUAUCUGAGCAGAUAGCUGAUCUGAUUGGGGAUGUUGAAAAUACGGCCGUAUAGUCUUGGGGAUGCAACAAUUAGGCUAUCCUCACUGGUUUGAAUCACCAAGUCGCUUUAAUAGAACUCAGAGAGCAGCUCUACAGGUGCACAAUGAGCCUCUAAUACAGUGAUACUAUUUCUAUAUGGGAAUAUACUUAUGUAAUUUUCACUGGAGUAACUUACCAACUAUAUUGUGAUAAAACAUGUGUAUUCAACGCAUCAAAUGCUGCAACUAAGGAUAAGAUCUUGGCUGGUAGUCACACAUAUUUAUGAGUGUCAGUAAACCAUCUGGUGCUCUAUCUAACAAAACAGUGCAGAAGAAGCAAACAAAACGCCGACAACAGAUCAGUUGAUAGGACUGAUCCACUUCUAAACGAAUUCAUAUAUUCAUGAUCUGCCAUUUUAUUUUUUGCUUGGCCGGGAUUGGUUAGCUGAGCAUUUAAGUAUUGUUUCAGUGUUUCCUUAAUAAUGUUAAUCCUCAUUAUCUGUUCAAGAGCCAAAUUGGCAAUGCUUUCUUUUGCAUAUUGAUCCUACCAUGUAUAUUUAGGUUCACUUGUAGGAAGUUCAUGUUUUCUACUGUUUUUAUUUUGCUAUGUCCAAAUUCAGGUUUUCAACAUGGUUGUCUGCAUAUCUGUGUCCAUGGUUACUGAGGCAAGUAGUAUGUUUCAUGAUUGUAUUUGCAUUGAUUCCUUUCUGAACUGAAAAAGCUCCAUUUUGGAUUAGUUUGCAAAGUUUUCAUGUUAGAAGUGUAGUCAAAUUGAAAAGGCUGCAUAAUGCAUGCUUGCUGAUGCCUUUUGUUAGCCCCAAGAUAAUAUCACAGCAUAAAGGACAUGCCAUUGCCUGAUCCAAAACUCUGUUUUGUACUGUCUAUAAACACAGCCUACACAUCCAAGAAGAUAUAUGUGGACUAAACUAUUUUUGGGGCAUAUAUUCAUGGCAUCCAUAGACAUCUAACAGAUGAUCUUAUGUGGCUCUCUAACCUCCACAAAUCCAUGAUUUUACUAAAUUAACUGUUCAAGUUAUCAAAUUAUGAGCAAAUUAUCCUAACAUAUGGGUUAAACCCAUUUGAAUGCCAUUUUUGCGAGUAUUUAAUGCUAACCACAUUCUUGCAAUUAAUUACUAUCUCAAGAAGUUCUUUGUACUGUCGCUUUGAUCCCUUUUUGGUUACAAGCAUGCUCACCCAAUGUUCAUGAAAAAGUUAAACCAGGGAGUGUAUACUCAAGUCUAAAGCAUCAUAUCAAUUUGUGCUGUCUUUGGGUAAUAAUUUAAUUGUGCUUUUAAUCAUUUAUAUCACUAUAGGUUGUUGUUAUAAAGUCUUAAAGCUACAUGGGAAGAUCUCGGCAGAUACUUUAAGCCCCAAAGUAUCAAAGGGGAUUUCACCUUCUUGCCAUGCGUUGAGCCGCGGUGGGAGAAAGUGGGUGGAUUGGUCAUUGAUCAGUUGCCAUCUCUUCAAUUGGGUGAACUUCAUCACAAGAAAAAAGCAGCAAUUUGGUCAUAGUAUAUUGGGUGUCAUAUGUUUUCUUGGUUGACACCCUUUUGUUUUCGUUGUGACUGAAACCCUACAUUUAAAUGACUAGGAAACUUCUCAGACCUAAAUCUUACUUGCAAAAUAUAUUGUAUACUUUUGAGACAGAGUUUUGUCCUCACAAGAUAACUGCUUGUUGUAUUUCACUAUCAGAACAUUUGUUUGGGGGGAGUAUCCUGGCGUUAAGGAUGCUUGGAUGGAAGUGGUGGCCUCACAAAGCUAGUCAUUAUAUUUUCUUGCCUUGAAGUUACUGAUAGUGAGUUAAAUUUUCUUAGUGAUUGCUCGAACACAUUGCUUACCAGCCACCCUAAUGUGUGUAGGCAAGAUCAAAAUGCACAAAUACCUGCUCAGGUAUUUUCCAGUUAUUUUAACUUCUUGCAAUAUGUUCGCUGACUCUUACUCGAUUCAGAUACAGUAUGUUGGCUGAAUCUUACUCCGUUCAGAUAUCUCUCUUCUUUGGCUCUUUGCUUUGGCUCGGAUAUGUCUUCGCAUCAGAAUUUUUCACCACCAAUUAAUUUGCAAGGGCACAUACUAUUUGUAGCAGCCUACAAAAACACAAUUCACCUUAUACAUCUGUAGAAAUGGAUUGUUGCACGAAGUUGUCUCAGUUAGUAGACUAUAUUCGUUAACAUAUAGUUAUUUUUGUGAGAAAGUAAACAUAUAGUUUUUUGACGGAAGUAUACUUAUAUAAUAUUCUUAUUGUUGAGAUACUAAAAACAUUUUGGUUAAUUAUUACUUACUGUGACACUUAAGUAAGUCUUUCGAGUAGGCAAAAUCUAUCAAUUUAUAUUGCCAUAAUAGGCGAUAUCUCAUUCAUGGCAUCAAAUACAGCUUAUUUUAGAAUGGUACAUAUGUAAUGUUUGGCUUCCUUAUAUCAUGUAUGCUUUCCCUUUGCUGUAAACUAAUAGUUAGGUUGUAGUGUUUUCAUUCGCUCUUGGAAGUCAUAUCACAAGCACAUCCGUGGUUAUUGGCCUUGAACAUUUCACCUUCCAUGCAACUCGCUUGCUCACUACCACUUAGAAUCAGUGACAGUGACUUGCCUUCUUACUAUGAUUUUUUUAGAAAACCUUCUUGCUGUGGUUCAGAAGAUGAAUACAUCGCCAAGUUGCCCUUGAUAAUGCGUCUUUCUAUGACACAUACGACUGUUUCUCCAGCACUGAUUUCAAGCAACAGAAGUUGUGCCAAUUCACUCUCCUCAUCGACACUCAACAAUGGCCUCUUCUUCCAGUGCCCGAAGCAGCCGCAUACCAUAUGCCUCGUGUUGAUUCUCCUGAUCGUCAGCCUGCCAGAAGUCUCAGCUGUCAUGCCGGUCGGCCAACAAUGUGAAGGACCAGAUGAUCGUUGAAAAUAUGAUGAAAAUUCAGGUGACGACCAAUCAAGAGGCUGUUGAUGAGAUCAAUGACACUAGAGGGGCGGACAGGCAGCUGCGGAGCAUCUGAUGGAGCAACUGGUGAAUAGGAGGAGCAAAGACAACAUCUCUUGCGUCGCUGUAAACAUCCGCUGCUAUCAGAGCUUGAGUCAGUGAACAGGAGGAGCAAAGACAACAACUGCUCCGUCAUCAUAAACUUCCACUCUUGGCCGAGCUUAAACCUGCUAGCCACUUAUGCGUACAGUUAGUUAUAUGCCAGAUUGGUUUCACAAUUUUCUGUAGUUAUUCAUACGAUAUAGUGUUUAAUAUGGUUGGGAAUAAUCCACCACCCAAUGGGAUCAAGGUCUCUAAAAUAUUGUUGUUUGUUCAAAGGUUGUUUGUUUGGUUAUCAGGUGUAGAUUCUAUUGCAAGUUCCUUGCUUAUAUGUGCAUGUUCAUCAAUUUGGAAAAAAAGAGAUGAAAAGGUUGCUCGUCAAUCUGGCACCAUACAAACUUCCUCUCAAGAGGCGCCACCAGGUGGCGCCCCAACCCCUAGUGUAGGUUGUAAGGUGUAGGGAACUUGCCCUGGAGUUUCUUGACACUCCAAGAAAUCACAUGCAUCUGGGCAGUCAUAAGGGCUCAUAUGCCGGAAAUACAGAAGGGCUCAGGAGAAUGCCGGGUGUAAUAAACAAUUU